UUGCCAUCAUUCAGUUGGGCACUCUAGCGAGGCUGCCGGUAAUAAACCGGAGGAAGGUGGGGAUGACGUCAAAUCAUCAUGCCCCUUAUGACCUGGGCUACACACGUGCUAUAAUGGUUGGUACAACGAGUUGCGAGUCGGCGACGGCGAGCUAAUCUCUUAAAGCCAAUCUCAGUUCGGAUUGUAGGCUGCAACUCGCCUACAUGAAGUCGGAAUCGCUAGUAAUCGCGGAUCAGCACGCCGCGGUGAAUACGUUCCCGGGCCUU
rnacentral:rRNA from 1 species